UACGUAGGGUGCGAGCGUUAAUCGGAAUUACUGGGCGUAAAGUGUGCGCAGGCGGCCGCGCAAGUCGAGUGUGAAAGCCCCAGGCUUAACUUGGGAAUUGCGCUCGAAACUACGUGGCUGGAGUGUGGCAGAGGAAGGUGGAAUUCCACGUGUAGCGGUGAAAUGCGUAGAGAUGUGGAGGAACACCAAUGGCGAAGGCAGCCUUCUGGGCCAACACUGACGCUCAUGCACGAAAGCGUGGGGAGCAAACAGG
rnacentral:rRNA from 1 species